CAUUAUAUCAAGAGCUAGAUAUCAGAGCCACUUGGGAGAAAUAAGAAACAGGUGUAGAAACAGGAUUGGUAGACAACAUGUUCAUGCAAAUGAUAUGAAGAAGAUUGGCACCUGGAAAAUCAAGGAAGAGGUGGGGCCGUGUAGGCAGAGACUUAAUUUUCUCAAGUGAAUGAAGAAAAAAGCACAUGGUGAGGCUGAUUCUGUGGGGAUGUAUUUGAGCUAGAAGAUUCAGGAGGGAAAAUUAGUUCUAAGACAAAGAUGGAGACAUCAAUAAGAUUGGGAAAUACUCAGACGUCAGAAGAAUUUGGGUUUGAAUCAGAAUUCCUUUACAUACUUUCUAAGUUUCAAGUUAAGCAGCAAUUCAGUGUUUCAAACCUUACGAUUGAUAAACAAAAAAUAAAAUGAAAUUCACC
ensembl:lncRNA LINC00457 long intergenic non-protein coding RNA 457